CAGAGGCUAUAGUUUCCAUUUCAUCAUCUCAGAUUCGAUCUUGUACAGAGACGGUGACUUUCAAGCCAUCUGAAGCUUCGCAGAAUGACCCUCUCAAUUGGUUUUCCAAGAUAGCCUCUUCUGUAGUAGACGAUCCAGAGAGUGAAUUUGGUGUGGUUUUGAGUUUUAAGAAUACUGAUAAUCAUGAUGAGUAUCUUUCUGAUGGGAUUGACUACUUCGAGGCUAUGACAUUAAAACUUAAGGAGACAAAGGCAGAACCGUACUUUUGUAAGACCAGGGUCCUAAAGGAAGAAGCGGCAUGUCCAGCUUCAUUGCCAAUUCAGCCAAGGAGGGGCCAAACAAGAAGAGGGAGGCAGCAGCGAAAGGACUUCCAAAGUGAAAUUCUCCCAAGUCUUGCCUCUCUGUCAAGGUAUGAAGUAACUGAGGAUCUUCAUGCAAUAGGAGGGCUGAUUGAGGCUGCUCAUCAAAAUACUGGUGCCAGAAGAACAGGUAGAAAUGUUUGGAUGAGUGGGAGGAGGAGACGGUCUUCAAUAUCUCCUUCCCAGGCAGAAACCUCAUUGUGUUCACUGCUGAAGCAGCAAACCACAAAUGGCAAGUACAGCAUCGAGGAGAGCAGCCUAAUAGGCUGGGGAAAAAUAACAAGACGGCGCAGGGGGCCGAGAUGUCCUGCUACUAAUCCUCGGCUUAUUUUGAGUCAAGUAUAGUUAAACUCUGUUUUUACGGUUUUUGGGGUGAGUUAAUAGCAAGAAAACCAUGACAUGGUCUUGUACAUGGAAGAUAUCAUAUAGGGUCAAUCAUUAUGAGGUACUUUGAUUUUGAUAUUAUUUAUAAUUUGGUCAUG
rnacentral:misc_RNA from 1 species